AUGUUUUGUUGAGGGACAUGGUUUAGUGAGAACCGUUGGUGAAGGGUGAACGGUUGGACUGGAUGAUCCUGUGGGUCUUUUCCAACCUUAGCGAUUCUAUGAUUCUAUGAUUCUUCUGAAGACUGUUGCUCUAUAUUCUUUAGAUAUAACAUUUAUAUGAACUGUCUUGUUGUGUAAUCCACUGUAAGUACAUGUAACCCCUGACAGCAUGAAAGCCAGGUCUGGGCAGAAGGCUAAUGGAAGCUUGAUUGCAGCCUUGAAAGUGAGGGAACUAAAAUGAUUUAGAGAGCUCGUGCUGGUGCAUUACAUGCCAUGGGAAUCAUUCUGUUAGUACAUGGUACAUAAAAGUCUCCCUAAAAAUAGAGAUAAAAGCUAUCAGCACAUGCUCUUGUUUACUGAGCAUGGCUCAGAAAAAUUGGCACUACCUCGAUUCCGUAUCUUUCCUGAUUAAUUUAGCAAAAGAUACAUUCCAAAUAUUGAAACCCUUUCACUGGGAAGACAGAUUGAGCAUCUCCACAUUCCUUAUACAGAAUUCAUUUUCCCUUUUCUGGACCAUUGUCAACUCUCAGUUAUUUUCUGUGACUUGUAUGUAAUCUAUCCACGAGAAAGACCUGUCAACCUGCCAGUUAGUUAUACCUAAUCCAAUAGACAAGGUCUCAUUCAGGGCAGGAAGAGGGAAGCGUGAAAGUGUAAGGAUCAGAUUUAAGAUCUAUCAUGUGAGUUAAAGCUUCAGCCUUACCAGAUCAAGAGAGGUGAUUUUUCACAUCUAUUAUGCACUGGUGAGGCCACAGCUGAAGUUCUGUGUGCUGUUCUGGGGUCCCCAGAGGGACAUGCAUCUACUGGAGGGAGACCAAUGAAAGGCCACCAAGGUGAUUAAGGGACAGCAGCACCUCUCCUUUGAGGAAAGGCUGAGAGACCUGGGACUUUUCAGCCUAGAGAAAGAUCAGGGGAGAUCUCACCAAUGUCUAUAAAUACCUAAAGAAGGGUGCAAAGGGGCCAGGCUCUUUUCAGUGGAGCACAGUGCUAGGCCAAGAGCCAAUGGGCACGAACUGGAACACAGAAGGUUCUGUUUGAACACCAGGAAGUACUUCUCUGCUGUGCAUAUUUUCCAGAGAGGCUGUGGAGUCUCCUCCUUGCAGACCUUCAAAAGCCACCUGGACGUGAGCCUGGGCAGCCUGCUCUGGGUGUCCCUGCUUGAACAGGGGGUAAGAUCAGAUGGACCCAGUGGUGCCUGCCAACAUCAGCCAUCCUGUGAUUCUGUAAUUUUGUGAUUCACUUUUACUAUUAUUCUUCCAGUCUGGAUCACACAGCAGUUGAUUCACAACUGUAAGCACACAAAACACCAUCAGUUACCAAAUCAAGGUCACUGAUUUCAGCAGUGGUGGUGUGUUUCAGGAAUCAGCUGCACACAUAUUAGGAAAAUAUCUGACCGUUCUCUUCGACCCUUAAGGAAAAGUGCAGUUCAGUCUGUAUAUUCUCUCCCAGUUACCUUGGUUAUGCAGAGAACACAAGGGAAGAGGAAAGAGAACAGCCAAGCUCUCAAGUUAGAAUGUCCUCUCCUAGAUCAAAUGAAGUUGACUCUUCCAUCUGGCAUGCAGCAGGAGCCACACUCUUACCCUCUCAGGUCUUCUGCUUUACUAAACAGCAAUAUAGAAACAGAGAGGCCUGCAUACGACUCAGUUCAAUUUAAGUAAAAGGAGGAAUGUACUGAAUAUCAGUAAUUCACGGUAAGGAAAUUGACGUUAAGAUUGGACAGUGAUGGCUCCCGUGUAAACAUUGAUGGUAGCAGUUUACUACCAACUCAUUUCUGGAAAUGAUUUAGUAUGUUACCCAUGCCUCCAAGCCUUUACACCAUUGCAUAGGAUACACUGAUGUGGAGGAAAAACAGAAAUAACUUUUCAAACCUAAGUAUUCCACAGCAGCCAUUCAUGCUGUGCCUGCAGUUUUUUACAAUGGGAAAACAAGUUGACACAAUUUCUUACUGUAUUUUUGGCUCGAGGAUCCCUUAUGUUGUUGAGGCAAGCUUGCAUUUAUUGAUAACUUUUCUAAACAAGCAAAAUUAAAGGAACAAAGUGCUUUCAAUUUCACAUGACUAGCCAGUAGCUCAACUCACAAAGAAGAAAUAUAAAACUCAAGCAUUUUAGGAUUGCUCCUGGGAUGCUGAAACUGUGAUCAUGUUUUACAUACAUGUAGCUGAAAAUCAAAAUUUUCCUUAUUCUCCUGCUGCCCAUGAGAUCUCUUAUGUUUUCUUUUCUCUGGUCCAUUUAGCUUAGAUUGACUUUCUUUUUCCUUCAGGUCCCUCCAGCACAAUAGAUGUACAAGUGUUUAACACAGGGGUGUAUUCCUCUGUUUUAAUGCUUUCCUCUUGGCACAGCCAUUAAGGGAUUGAUGCGACAUCUCCAAAUACAGCAACAAUCCUUCCAUCAGCUUCAGAAGGCCUCAGGGGAGGCUUGUGGGCUUUAUAUUCUGUUUUUUUUUCCUACUCCGCUGGUCCUAACCUUUCACAGGGUUUGCUCUUGCUAUGAAGAAAUAUUCAAAGAUGCUUUACCAGAGCAGUGUGGCAGGAACUUAAUGAUGAAAUUAUGUCUUCACUAGCUGUGUGAAGGUAAGGCUCUGGAUUUUGUCACUUCUGCUGCAUGCCUUGGUCUACAGGCCCAAACAACCUACAGAACCCUUCCCCCACCUCAGAACCAAAGGGCUUCUCAAGUACAUUACUCUUCAUAACACCUGGGGAAGACAAAUAAAACCAACACACGCAUGUAGCACAUACAUAUGAAUAUGAGUGUACUUCCAUCAGCUGUUGGAGGUAAGAGGUGCCUAUGAGACCUUCAAAUGAUAAGGGAAUAUCCUUUGGUAUCAGUUCUUGGCUGCUACCGAAGCCUGCUGGGCUAGCUCCUCCGAUUACAGCACACCCCUCUUGCUUCUCUCUGCUUGGUUUCAGAGGCUGGGCUUUUGCAGGAGCCAGCAGCUGCACAGAACUCGUAGUUGCAUAAGACCUUAAGAAAUACCUAGAACAUUUGGAUGACUGCACGCCUUAGGGCCUGGGCCCUAAGAGAUGAUUGAAAAUGAUUCCUCAACCUGUCCUUGAUUUAUUUGGCAGUCUGACUUGCUAACGCUUUCCCCUGUAUUUUUCCUCUCUGUGACAGGAACAAACUGUGGGUCACAUCCCAGACCGCCUGUCCUGCUGUGCUCCAAGACUUGUGAUGGGGGAGGAAGAGAAGACAUGCAGGUGUGGCAAUCAUAGGGUUCCCCACGUGUCAGACCUGGAGUACGAUCACCUCAUUAACAACACAGUGGCCUUUAAGGAGCAGAUUAUAGUGGUCUGUGUCUCAUCUUCACAAAGAUCCCAGUGAAGAUGAAAUAGAGCAGCUGUAUGCCUUGUGCUUAGGUGGGUUUUAUAAGUAGACUGUUUUUCCUACAUGUGGUAGAACACUUCAGGAUCCUUUUUGGAAUGAUCAUCUGUUUAUCUGUUUGCUAAAAUAUUGCUCACUAAUUGUAGGGGCAGAAGAUUUCUGAGAGACAGAAUUCCAAAGGAUUAGGACAAAUCAAUAGAGAUGUUGCACACUGAGUAGCUACCACUCCUGUUCUCAUAACCAGGCAUCUAAUUUUAUAAAUCAGAGGAGCAGUUUCUUCUGAGGGAAAUAUACUCUCAUACAGAAACUGAGAAAUUUAGAAGCCUCCGUCACCAAAUGUAUACUGCGAAGAUCCAUUGCUACCUGUUUUGAAAGAGAAAAACAAUGCAAUUGAGCUCUUAAGGACUUGUUUGGAAGGAACUGCUGGCUUAAUUGGUCAUGCAAAUCUUUCCAUCUACUUAAUGAGACCAUUGUACCUCCCUUGUUUUUUCAGGGUUGUCUGGAUUACUUUCGCCUCCUCAAAUAGGACAUCACCUCUGCUAAUGCAUUUACAGAUCAUAAAGGUUCCUUGUUGGAGAAGAGACAUAAUGUAGCUCCUGGCAUGUUUUUAGUAUGUUAAAAUUAUUACAGUCAAUGA